CUAAGAUUGAGAAGGAUUUUUUUGGAAAGGGAAAACAUAGUUGCACAUCAGAGGCACAUGUACUAGGUCACAGUCCCUGUACUUGGGUUUAAAUUUCAGAAAGUGAACAGAGAAUACAGACAAAGCCCAUCCAUGGCAACCACAGUUCCCAGUGUCUGUCUCCAUAGCAAUCACUGGAUGGAAGUUUCCAUGCCUCUCCUGACAGUCGGGAUUCUUGUUCUUUCUAGUCAUUGUUCUCAAAAAGGUCACAGUCCGUGCUCUCUGCUGUGGUUCAGAAAAAAGAUGAAGCCACAUUUUGUAGCCCUUUGUAGACAUCAUCCAGACCAAAGCAUUGCUUCAGAAGUGAACGUCCCCAGAACCAGGCCAAAGGAGUGUGUAUGUGUGGGGGUGCAUACAUGCCAUAACAUGCAUGUGGAAGUCAGAGGCCAGCCCAUGGGAAACAAUCCCGUCUUCCUGCUGUAUGUGUCCUAGGGUUGUCAGGCUUGGCAGCAAGCACAUUGGCCUGUCUCCCAUGCCUCUACCAUGCCAGUGACUGCCACAUUCUGCUGCCUUCCUAAGAUGAACAGGGAAGGAGAGACGGUUCUGAGCGGUCUUUGCAAG